GGGGAUGUAACUCAGUUGGCAGAGGGCUUGCUUUGCAUGCAUGAAGCCCUAGGUUCCAUCCCCA
rnacentral:tRNA from 1 species